AGGUGUAGUCGGUGGACCUGGAGGUGUAAUUGGAGGAAACGGAGGUCUGAUUGGCGGAAAUGGAGGUAUUAUAGGUGGAAAUGGAGGCAUAAUCGGCGGAAAUGGAGGUAUCAACGGUUGGAAUGGAGGCAACAGAAACGGAAAGGAAGGUAUCAUUGGCCAAAAUGGAGGUAUCAUUGGCGGAAAUGGAGGUGAGGUCAAUGGUAAUGGAGGUAUAAUUGGUGGAAAUGGAGGUAUAAUUGGUGGAAAUGGAGGGAUUAUCAACGGAAAUGAAGGUCCAAUAGAUUGGAGAAAUCGAUUUGGUAGAAACCGUAAUAAAGAUUUAAGAAAUGGAGUUAACCGUGGUCAAUGAAGUAUGGUUUCAAAAUACUGGAAAACGUGGCUUUAUUUAGAUUUUUCAUUAAAGGUGCUGGGGUCAUUGGAAAGAGAAACGUAUUAUUUAUCUUCGCUUUUCAUUCAUCAUA